rnacentral:sRNA from 1 species
UAAUGUUCAAUCUACGGAGGGGGUCAU